GGCUGGCGGCGUGCCUAAUACAUGCAAGUCGAACGGCUUUUCUAUGGAAGCUUGCUUCCACUGAGAAGAUAGUGGCGAACGGGUGAGUAACAACGUGGGUAACCUGCCCAUAAGAGGGGGAUAACAUCCGGAAACGGUGCUAAUACCGCAUAGUUUUCUUGAUCGCAUGAUUGAGAAAGGAAAGACGGCCUUUGUGCUGUCGCUUAUGGAUGGACCCGCGGCGUAUUAGUUAGUUGGUGAGGUAAUGGCUCACCAAGACGAUGAUACGUAGCCGACCUGAGAGGGUGAUCGGCCACAUUGGGACUGAGACACGGCCCAAACUCCUACGGGAGGCAGCAGUAGGGAAUCUUCCGCAAUGGACGAAAGUCUGACGGAGCAACGCCGCGUGAGUGAAAGAAGGUUUUCGGAUCGUAAAACUCUGUUGUCAGAGAAGAACAAGUUGGAGAGUAACUGCUCCAGCCUUGACGGUAUCUGACCAGAAAGCCACGGCUAACUACGUGCCAGCCGCGGC
rnacentral:rRNA from 1 species